UGCUGAUGUUGACCAGGCACUCACUGGACUUGAGGCUAGCCAGAGACUUGCAGCUCGGGAGGGAUGCCAAGGACCCACAUAGGCCCAUCAUGGAGGGGGUGUAGUCCUUUCCUGGAGGGGUGGGACAGGCAUACAAAGUGCUCUGCAGUGCACUGAGGAGUAUGUGGGUGAAACCUGGACACCACCCUCUGUCUACAUCACUCACAGCUGCUCCUGAAGCUCCAGGACUAUGUCCUCCAGUUCCUUCUUCUCCCGUUGGCUGUGGCUCUGCAGCUCCUCCAAUCGGGCCUUUAGCCUCUUGUUCUCUGUUUCUGUGUUCUUCAGCUGGGACUCACGCAGGCGCACAAGCUCCUCCAGCUCUCCUCGUCAGUGACCAGGGGGAUGUAGGGGUGUUCGGGAAAGCUGUCAUCACUUGUGCUGCUGUCAACACUCUGUCGAUCGUCAUCAUCGCUCAGUGAACAGAGGGCGGAGUCUUGGGUCUACAGGUGCAGCUACAGCGUGAGAGCCUUCACAGAAACAAGGAGCUGCUGAUGGAGGAAGCCCACAGUGUUUGACCAUAAAAUCUUUGCAGAUAUUGAAAACUGAUUGAUGCGCUGGAUACUGAUUUGUUAUUUUAGACACUACAAUAUUGUAUUUAAAAAUUCAGAACAAGUUUUGAUGCAGAGACAUUAUAACAAUGUUAGGUUUGACUUUAUGUAAUAAUUUCAGUAUUGAUAGCUGAAUUAAAUUGAUUCUACUAAAUGUUUAA